rfam:Gossypium hirsutum cultivar TM-1 unplaced genomic scaffold scaffold732.1, whole genome shotgun sequence
UGUUAAAAAAUUUAUCUAUUUCUACUGUUAAAAACUAGCAUGUUUAACUUCAAAUAAUUACAUGUGGCGUGCCACGUGUACCUCAUUCUAGCAUAUAGGGACCAAUUCUAAUAUUAGAAAUGGAUGAAUUUUUUAAUA